GACGAACGCUGGCGGCGUGCUUAACACAUGCAAGUCGAACGCUGAAGCCUAGCUUGCUGGGUGGAUGAGUGGCGAACGGGUGAGUAACACGUGAGUAACCUGCCCUCUUCUUUGGGAUAACGCCCGGAAACGGGUGCUAAUACUGGAUAUUCACUGAUCUUCGCAUGGGGGUUGGUGGAAAGGUUUUUUCUGGUGGGGGAUGGGCUCGCGGCCUAUCAGCUUGUUGGUGGGGUGAUGGCCUACCAAGGCUUUGACGGGUAGCCGGCCUGAGAGGGUGACCGGUCACAUUGGGACUGAGAUACGGCCCAGACUCCUACGGGAGGCAGCAGUGGGGAAUAUUGCACAAUGGGCGAAAGCCUGAUGCAGCGACGCCGCGUGAGGGAUGGAGGCCUUCGGGUUGUGAACCUCUUUCGCUCAUGGUCAAGCCGCAACUUAGGGUUGUGGUGAGGGUAGUGGGUAAAGAAGCGCCGGCUAACUACGUGCCAGCAGCCGCGGUAAUACGUAGGGCGCGAGCGUUGUCCGGAAUUAUUGGGCGUAAAGGGCUUGUAGGCGGUUGGUCGCGUCUGCCGUGAAAUCCUCUGGCUUAACUGGGGGCGUGCGGUGGGUACGGGCUGACUUGAGUGCGGUAGGGGAGACUGGAACUCCUGGUGUAGCGGUGGAAUGCGCAGAUAUCAGGAAGAACACCGGUGGCGAAGGCGGGUCUCUGGGCCGUUACUGACGCUGAGGAGCGAAAGCGUGGGGAGCGAACAGG
rnacentral:rRNA from 1 species